UUCUCAAAAUAAAAGUUUGUGAAAACUAUCAAUCUAGAGCACUUUUUGACGUUUGGCCGGUCUACUAUUUAUAUGAAUCUCACACUUCCCACCCUAUCAUAACAUUACUUGACUGGCAGAAGGGCAUUUAAUAUUCCCAAGGGUGUCAACACUCAUGUGCACUGUAUCUUUUGCAUAGCAUGUGUUUGAGCUUACACCAGCCAUACUGGAAUUUGAAAACUGCUUAGCCACACAACUUAUUGCUCUUUUGCCAUCCAGGUGACAAUAUCACAUGUGUAAUUGAUGAACACGAAAGUGUGAAAGUUAUUAGCAAAAUCCUGAAAAAUUGUUUUUCUUUCUCUUACCAAUAAAAUAAAAAUAUUGGGUAUAUUUGAAUUUCAUUUUCUUUCCCUUAAUUAUCUUUUUUUUUUCAUUUGCAAUGGAAUAAAAAGUGGGUAGCACAGCGUAAAACUUGAAGUUGGUUGGCUAAAGAAACUUUUUAUCAAGCUAAAACAACAGUUAAUCUGUACUUUCAGCUUUGGAACUUGUUGUAUGCCAAAUGUUUUUAUAUGCUAUGGUAUGGCAGAAAUAGUAUUACGAGACCCCAUGAUAUUUUGAAGAAAUAGAUGUAAGAAAGCCAACAUAAGUCGUCCCUUUCAAUCAAAACCUUGCCAAAGUCUAGGUAUUAACAAAAUCAGGACUCUUUUUUUUUUCUUUCUUUCCAGCCAAAUAAGUAGAGUUUUGUCAGAGGAAUUUUUUUUCUUGGCAAGUUUGACUGUAUUUAAAUGCAAACACAUAAUAGUCAUAAAACUGAUAAAGUUUACAUAUGCACAUGUCAUUUAUUACAUUGAAAGAAUUCUGUACAGUCCAGUCAUGAUUUCUUUGUAUUUUACAUGAACUCUGCAAAAAAAAAAAUGGGAAAUUAAAUGUCCAUGUCCCUCAUAACUAUGUUCAAGCUCUUCCAUCAAUUUUAUUGCAGCACCACAGAAAAACUAAUAAAAAAAGAUUUCUUGACUUUGGAAUAUAAAACAAGAAAUUGUUAGUGCAUUGAUAUAUCUGGACUUGCUACAUUUCACUACUGGCUUAUUUUGUGAAAUUUAUAUGUAGUGAAUCUAACACAUUUUGUAAGCUAAAUGUCACAUUUACAUGCAAUAGCCCAAAGGCGGCAUAAAUCAGUAAACUUUCAAUGUAUCAGCUCAUUUUUCUCUCAAAUCAUUCUCAGCUGUUUUGGAAGGAUAGAUAAGACAGCUUUCUAUACCAUUCACAAGUUAGGAAAGAGCACAGUAAACAUAAGAAGCAUACAAUUGUAAGGACAAUUUUGACAUUUUUAGCUUUCCAUAAUUUUAGCACAGAGUUGGACCAUAGUCUAAGUUUAACCUGACUUCAGAAUACGGGCUGAUAUAUCAAAAUCACAUUUCAUAGCAUCAGCGCUUGGUUCCUUACCCAGAACCCAAUCAUAGUCUUAUAACGAUUACCUAAUAGAAUGAUGUCUAUUAACUUUACUCAUUACAAACAUUUAUAUCACAAUAUUUGUAAAGGUCUUUUCAUGUCUACUGCUCCCAAACAUGAUAAUUUUCUUAUGAAGUCAAAUGACCACCAUAAUUCAAACCAAACAUUACUAACCAACUGCAUAGGAGUCUAUUAGAUGACCCCUUUUUAUAAAAGUAAUCUGUUUUUUCAUAAAGCUGCUGGAAAUCAUACAUACCUUUAUGAAUGACGAGAAUAUGAAAUGUUCAAAUGCAAGCCUUAAGUCCCAAAUGAUAUCCAAACGUCUGACUAUAUUUCAAAUACAUCUUGCACUAAAAUGUACAUUUCAAGCAAGAAUCAAAUAAUGAUCUGCAUAUAACUUACAUGACAGUUCAAACACAUUUUGGCUUGUCAUACUCCUGUCAUUUAUGAAGUACUUUGUAAUAUUAUGAACAGCUCUAUGAAACACCUCUCUGCUGAGGUUGGUUAAGAGCCAAUAUAUGUGAUGUACUUAGACCCCUGUUACAUCUGAAAGUUUCCUACCCGAGACCCGACCGAGUCCACCUGCAACCUUGGCUGGAUUAGCUUCACGAACGGACCGAGUCCGAAAUGUGGUCUGUUUACAUCACAGCGUUUAUUCCCUCCCCUAUCGGUACAGUUUCGAGCGGUAUCCGAUUGCUGACACUAAAAAGCGCUCUCGAUCUGGGCUCUGAAUAAUUUGCGCGCUAAUUGAAGUUGUUUACAUUUUGUUACACUCGUCGGCUGCUAGCUCGCCAUUUGGUUACGUUCGUUGAACAUAUGAUCGACUUGAAAAGGAUACGUUUAAAAUGCUUCCUUCUUUCCACUCAAAUCAAAGACUUGAUCAAUCACAAUUCACAUGUCGCAAAUCAUUCGAAGAAUGGCGGGCAUGGCUGGGGAGGGCAUAGCGCGCACUAUGACGUAAUUUGACAGCUGGCGAACGGACCGAGAUAGGUUCGAAAGCUUGUGUGCGUUUACAUCUACGAAUCGGUGGACCGGCCCGAUACCUACCCGAGACUACAUCUGGAUGUGGUCUCGGGUAGAUUCGCUAAAAGGUGGCCCAAGGUAGGUUUGGGAUGUUUACAACUGAUUUCUUUCCGACCUGAGGUAGGCCCGGGCCGGCCCGAGGUAGGGAAUCUUUCAGAUGUAACAGGGGUCUUAAAGAAGUACAUGUAAUCCAGGCUUAAGUAAAGAUGAUUUGAACAGAUAAAGAAAAAUCAGGCUAAGAAAACACUGAAAAUUUGAUCAAAAUGGGACAAAACUUUGUUACUUGUUAUCCGAUUUUGAUGAAAUUUUCUGCAUUUCACUCAUUAAAUUUUACUUUUACUAUUCAGAUAUAAAACAUUUCAGCCCUGAGCAUCCCUUUAAGUGGAUAUUUCAAAGAAAACCCUAUUAAAAAAAAUUCUUGGGGUAAAGAAGAGUAAUAAAAUGAGCUUUGAACAUUCUUGGUAGUGAGAUGGGUUCAUUAUUAAAAACAUUAAAACUAAACAUGCAAGAAAACUGGAUGAAAAAAAAGCAGGUGCUGCAUUUAGGAAGUUGAGUAUUUAGCCUGUGCACUAUUCCAUCAUUGAUGUUACAGAUCAUGACGGCGCAAGCGCUAAUACACGUUCCAUGUGCUGAGCGUGUGGUUUCAGGAAAAGUAGGUCAGUCAGCGCAGCAGGGUUAUCAUGAUUCAGAUUAAAAAAGGAUACGAGUACAAGAACUGAAUAUUCAAAAUCUAUGAUUGCUCAAACUUGUUAAAGUAGGAUAAAAAACAAAUUUACUAGGCCUUUAUUUUGAAAGUAUAGAGGGAAUUAUUCAUCCUCCGAUGAAUAAUUCCUGCUAUACUUACUCAAAGCCUGGUAUAUUUGUAUCAUAUUUUCAGCUAGACUUCCCUCUGAAAUAUAACAAGGUAAAUCAAGGAAAUAAAAGUAAGCAAUAAACAUAACAAUGUCUUGUGCACACUCACUCCUCUUUAUAAAGUGAGAUUGAACCCCCCCCAAAAAAAAGUGAUACCAUUAUCAAAUUCAAACCUGGUAAAAUUUAGUGUUGAUUGGUGUUGCAAUUGCACAGACAUGUACAUUCCCAAUUGCCUGCAGUAUUGGUUAAAAUAUGCCUAAAAAUGUCUUAUUGGGGCUCCUUCAAAAAAACUUUAUUCAUGUAUAAACUACAACCCAUUGGACUGCUUGAGUUACAAAUACUUGACAGUGCAUAAAUUGAAACAAAGAUUUCAAGCACUCCAGAACAUGGUCUCAAAGUACUAGUUGAAAUUAUUAUUUUCAUUAUGAAUAUUAUUAUCUGCUAAACAUUUUUUUUUUCAAUUCUUGUAUCAAUACAGAAAUUUGGCAAGCUAUAUAUAGAAAUAACAGAAAUUCAUUGGAAGAUUUUGCAGUAAAAUGCAUAUACAAUUACAAUUAGAAACACUUCAAUUGAAAAGAUUGCAGUAUGGGCUUGUAUAGAAGCUAAUGCAAACAGAAAUGUGUUAGCUCAGGGAAGGCUGAAAGCUGGU